AAAUUGAAGAGUUUGAUCAUGGCUCAGAUUGAACGCUGGCGGCAGGCCUAACACAUGCAAGUCGAACGGUAGCACAGAGAGCUUGCUCUCGGGUGACGAGUGGCGGACGGGUGAGUAAUGUCUGGGAAACUGCCUGAUGGAGGGGGAUAACUACUGGAAACGGUGGCUAAUACCGCAUAACGUCGCAAGACCAAAGAGGGGGACCUUCGGGCCUCUUGCCAUCAGAUGUGCCCAGAUGGGAUUAGCUUGUUGGUGAGGUAACGGCUCACCAAGGCGACGAUCCCUAGCUGGUCUGAGAGGAUGACCAGCCACACUGGAACUGAGACACGGUCCAGACUCCUACGGGAGGCAGCAGUGGGGAAUAUUGCACAAUGGGCGCAAGCCUGAUGCAGCCAUGCCGCGUGUAUGAAGAAGGCCUUCGGGUUGUAAAGUACUUUCAGCGGGGAGGAAGGUGUUGUGGUUAAUAACCGCAGCAAUUGACGUUACCCGCAGAAGAAGCACCGGCUAACUCCGUGCCAGCAGCCGCGGUAAUACGGAGGGUGCAAGCGUUAAUCGGAAUUACUGGGCGUAAAGC
rnacentral:rRNA from 1 species